AUUUAGCACCAAAAUAUCACAAUAUAUUGAAAACAUUGACUACAAAAAUGGCUUGGAUUAUCCAGAGGCUUGGAUAAGCGAGGCUUGGAUAAGUGAGACUCUACUGUAUAUCUUUGUUUGUAGUCAAUUUGUUAGUAGCCAAUUUUUUUGUAGUCAGUGUUUUCAAUACAUUGUGAUGUUUUGGUGCUAAAUUCGUAAAUACAGUAAUUACAGUAGAGUCUCACUUAUCCAAGCCUCGCUUAUCCAAGUUUCUGGAUUAUCCAACGCAUUUUUGUAGUCAAUGUUUUAAAUACAUCGUGAUAUUUUGGUGCUAAAUUCGUAAAUACAGUAACUACUACAUAGCAUGACUGUGUAUUGAACUACUUUUUCUGUCAAAUGUGUUGUCUAACAUGAUGUUUUGGUGCUUAAUUUGUAAAAUCACAACCUAAUUUGAUGUUUAAUAGGCUUUUCCUUAAUCCCUCCUUUUUAUCCAAGAUAUUCGCUUAUCCAAGCUUCUGCCGGCCCGUUUAGCUUGGAUAAGUGAGACUCUACUGUACUGUAUUUACGAAUUUUGCGCCAAAAUAUCAUGAUAUAUUGAAAACAUUGACUACAAAAAUGGCUUGGAUGAUCCAGAAGCUUGGAUAAGCAAGGCUUGGAUAAGUGAGACUCUACUGUAUAUCUUUAUUUGUAGUCCAUUUGUUAGUAGCCAAUGUUUUUUGUAGUCAGUGUUUUCAAUACAUUGUGAUGUUUUGGUGCUAAAUUCGUAAAUACAGUAAUUACUACAUAACGUUACCAUGUAUUGAACUGCUUUUUCUGUUGUAAAACAUGAUGUUUUGAUGCUUAACUAGUAAAAUCAUGUAAUUUGAUGUUUAAUAGGCUUUUCUAGGAGCCUCCAGUGGCCUAGGGGAUAAAAGCCUCGUAACUUGAAGGUUGGGUUGCUGACCUGAAAGCUGCCAGGUUCGAAUCCCACCCGGAGAGAGUGCGGAUGAGCUCCCUCUGUCAGCUCCAGCUCCAGCCUAGGCUUUUAUUCCCCUAGGCCACCGGAGGGUCCUUCACUGAGGUGUAAAGCAGACCGACUACAAAACGGAGUCCUGAGUCUGAACAGGCUCAGUACAAUCUCAUGUCUAUAACCCUCCCACAGUAACUUGAAGGUUGGGUUGCUGACCUGAAAGCUGCCAGGUUCGAAUCCCACCCGGAGAGAGUGCGGAUGAGCUCCCUCUCUCAGCUCCAGCUCCAUGUGGGGACAUGAGAGAAGGAUGGUAAAAUAUCAAAACAUCCGGGCAACGUCCCCUGGGCAACGUCCUUGCAGACGGCCAAUUCUCUCACUCCAGAAGCAACUCCGGUUGCUCCUGACACGAAAAAAAAAGGCUUUUCUUCAAUUCCUCCUUAUUAUCCAACAUAUUUGUUUAUCCAACGUUCUGCCGGCCCGUUUAUGUUGGAUGAGUGAGACUUUACUGUACCUAGAGUUAGUUAUCCAUGCCCUGAAUUCCAGGGCAUCCUUUUUCUUUCCAAGUCUCUCUUUUUAACAAUUUGUUCCCUUUCUUUGCAGGAAUGAAAGGCGUGUGGAGGAGGAGGAGGAGGAGGAGGAAGAGCCUGUCGAGGCCUAUUGUGGAAGGAGACGGAGGAGCUCCUUUGGAGAAAGACUUGGCAAGGAGGUUGGAGAAACGCUCCGCUUUCCCGGCCCUGACUCAAGCCUUUUGUCAGGACGGCUUCUCCGAAAUGGAAUGAAAUCUGGCGACUUACCAUGAAACAGACGGGAGGAUUAAUCCCAUGUAACGAAGACCAUCCCAAAAUGUUUCCAACCAUCCACAAGCUCCCGGGUUUCCAAGAUCUCCGAGGAAAGAACAAAGAUCAGCCGAGUUCAGGAUGGAAGCCCUUUCAGUUCCUCCCCAAAGAAAUGUAUAAUCCAACAAAACUGACGAUGGGAAAAAUCCACCAAAAAAAAAAAAAGUUAAAUUUUCGGCUUUUCCGAAAGAGAUGCGGAUCAGAGAAGAAAGAAAAGGACUGGAAGGAAAAGGUGCAAAGUUUUAAAACAAUGGAAAGGAAAAUGAAACAAUAUCAAGUUGAUGUGAUGCUCGGAGUCUCCGAAAUCUGGAUGUUUGGAACUUCUUUUCAAUGCAUCUUCACCUCCGGAGGCUGGGAUCUGGUCUGGCGAAGCUCACUCAGACAAAUGGCUUGUAAAUCAAUUCCUCCUCCUCCUCCUGCUUUUACUCCUCCUCCUUCUCUUCUCUUUCUUUCCUUCGUUCUUUCUUUCUUUCUUCUGUCUUCCCAGCAAGCGCCGGGAAGAGUUUUCCCUUUGAAGGCUUAGAAUCAUUGAUUGGCUGUGAAUUUUCCGGGCUGCCUGGCCAUGUUCUUUCCAGAAGCAGCACUCUCUCCUGACAUACUAGGCCUUCUCCGCCCAAACUGGUGCCGCCACUCGACGAGAGGCUGGAAGUGAUAUUUAAAACGCAAGCAUCGGCUUGGAAUGUAGAGCAACAGAAUGGGACCAAACCCGCCCAUCCGGCUCCUCUGGGUGAGUCGCACUCUCUCAGCCUCGGAUCCGGGCAAGAAGACCUUGUAACCGGGUCUGAAAUGGCACAACUAGAUGAUCCUCAAGCUCCCUUCUAAAGCCAAGGACCCUAUUGUUAUUAUUUUCAGUAUAGAACAUAUAUCAAACAUAUAUCAACAAGACUCCAACUAAAAUUUGUUAGCGACA